rnacentral:lncRNA from 1 species
GGUGCAUUAAACCAACCUCGAGAUAUGUGGCAUCAUCAUAUGAGAUCAAAUCUUAAAGCGCUAGAUCCCAGUAUACUUAUCUGUAAAGCGGAUUCAGUUCGGUAUUUUAUUGAGCUAAAUAAAAGACAUCCUUAUACUCUCUGGAUGACGUCUCUACUAACAAAAAUGUUCAGAUCGGGUAUAUGCUGAUCUGAACUCUGAUCUUUUCUA